GACGAACGCUGGCGGCGUGCUUAACACAUGCAAGUCGAGCGGAAAGGCCACUUCGGUGGUACUCGAGCGGCGAACGGGUGAGUAACACGUGAGUGAUCUGCCCUUCACUUCGGGAUAGCUCCGGGAAACCGGGAUUAAUACCGGAUAGGACAUGAGCCUGCAUGGGUGCGUGUGGAAAGUUUUGUCGGUGGAGGAUGGGCUCGCGGCCUAUCAGCUUGAUGGUGGGGUAAUGGCCUACCAUGGCUUUGACGGGUAGCCGGCCGGAGAGGGUUACCGGCCACACUGGGACUGGGACACGGCCCAGACUCCUACGGGAGGCAGCAGUGGGGAAUAUUGGACAAUGGGCGGAAGCCUGAUCCAGCAACGCCGCGUGAGGGAUGACGGCCUUCGGGUUGUAAACCUCUUUCAGCACAGACGAAGUUCCAGCUUUUGUUGGUUUGACGGUAUGUGCAGAAGAAGGACCGGCCAACUACGUGCCAGCAGCCGCCGUAACAC
rnacentral:rRNA from 1 species